rnacentral:rRNA from 1 species
CCUACGGGAGGCAGCAGUGAGGAAUAUUGGUCAAUGGACGAGAGUCUGAACCAGCCAAGUAGCGUGAAGGAUGACUGCCCUAUGGGUUGUAAACUUCUUUUAUAUGGGAAUAAAACGUUCCACGUGUGGGAUUUUGUAUGUACCAUAUGAAUAAGGAUCGGCUAAUUCCGUGCCAGCAGCCGCGGUAAUACGGAGGAUCCGAGCGUUAUCCGGAUUUAUUGGGUUUAAAGGGAGCGUAGGUGGGUUGUUAAGUCAGUUGUGAAAGUUUGCGGCUCAACCGUAAAAUUGCAGUUGAAACUGGCAGUCUUGAGUACAGUAGAGGUGGGCGGAAUUCGUGGUGUAGCGGUGAAAUGCUUAGAUAUCACGAAGAACUCCGAUUGCGAAGGCAGUUCACUGGACUGCAACUGACACUGAGGCUCGAAAGUGUGGGUAUCAAACAGGAUUAGAUACCCUAGUAGUC